rnacentral:rRNA from 1 species
GUUAUAUGGUCAAGUGAAGAAGCGCAUACGGUGGAUGCCUUGGCAGUCAGAGGCGAUGAAAGACGUGGUAGCCUGCGAAAAGCUUCGGGGAGUCGGCAAACAGACUUUGAUCCGGAGAUCUCUGAAUGGGGGAACCCACCUAGGAUAACCUAGGUAUCUUGUACUGAAUCCAUAGGUGCAAGAGGCGAACCAGGGGAACUGAAACAUCUAAGUACCCUGAGGAAAAGAAAUCAACCGAGAUUCCCUUAGUAGUGGCGAGCGAACGGGGAUUAGCCCUUAAGCUUCAUUGAUUUUAGCGGAACGCUCUGGAAAGUGCGGCCAUAGUGGGUGAUAGCCCCGUACGCGAAAGGAUCUUUGAAGUGAAAUCGAGUAGGACGGAGCACGAGAAACUUUGUCUGAACAUGGGGGGACCAUCCUCCAAGGCUAAAUACUACUGACUGACCGAUAGUGAACCAGUACCGUGAGGGAAAGGCGAAAAGAACCCCGGAGAGGGGAGUGAAAUAGAACCUGAAACCGUAUGCGUACAAGCAGUGGGAGCCUACUUGUUAGGUGACUGCGUACCUUUUGUAUAAUGGGUCAGCGACUUAUAUUCAGUGGCAAGCUUAACCGUAUAGGGUAGGCGUAGCGAAAGCGAGUCUUAAUAGGGCGUUUAGUCGCUGGGUAUAGACCCGAAACCGGGCGAUCUAUCCAUGAGCAGGUUGAAGGUUAGGUAACACUGACUGGAGGACCGAACCCACUCCCGUUGAAAAGGUAGGGGAUGACUUGUGGAUCGGAGUGAAAGGCUAAUCAAGCUCGGAGAUAGCUGGUUCUCCUCGAAAGCUAUUUAGGUAGCGCCUCAUGUAUCACUCUGGGGGGUAGAGCACUGUUUCGGCUAGGGGGUCAUCCCGACUUACCAAACCGAUGCAAACUCCGAAUACCCAGAAGUGCCGAGCAUGGGAGACACACGGCGGGUGCUAACGUCCGUCGUGAAAAGGGAAACAACCCAGACCGCCAGCUAAGGUCCCAAAGUUGUGGUUAAGUGGUAAACGAUGUGGGAAGGCUUAGACAGCUAGGAGGUUGGCUUAGAAGCAGCCAUCCUUUAAAGAAAGCGUAAUAGCUCACUAGUCGAGUCGGCCUGCGCGGAAGAUGUAACGGGGCUCAAACCACACACCGAAGCUGCGGGUGUCACGUAAGUGACGCGGUAGAGGAGCGUUCUGUAAGCCUGUGAAGGUGAGUUGAGAAGCUUGCUGGAGGUAUCAGAAGUGCGAAUGCUGACAUGAGUAACGACAAUGGGUGUGAAAAACACCCACGCCGAAAGACCAAGGGUUCCUGCGCAACGUUAAUCGACGCAGGGUUAGUCGGUUCCUAAGGCGAGGCUGAAAAGCGUAGUCGAUGGGAAACAGGUUAAUAUUCCUGUACUUCUGGUUACUGCGAUGGAGGGACGGAGAAGGCUAGGCCAGCUUGGCGUUGGUUGUCCAAGUUUAAGGUGGUAGGCUGAAAUCUUAGGUAAAUCCGGGGUUUCAAGGCCGAGAGCUGAUGACGAGUCGUCUUUUAGAUGACGAAGUGGUUGAUGCCAUGCUUCCAAGAAAAGCUUCUAAGCUUCAGGUAACCAGGAACCGUACCCCAAACCGACACAGGUGGUCGGGUAGAGAAUACCAAGGCGCUUGAGAGAACUCGGGUGAAGGAACUAGGCAAAAUGGCACCGUAACUUCGGGAGAAGGUGCGCCGGCUAGGGUGAAGGAUUUACUCCGUAAGCUCUGGCUGGUCGAAGAUACCAGGCCGCUGCGACUGUUUAUUAAAAACACAGCACUCUGCAAACACGAAAGUGGACGUAUAGGGUGUGACGCCUGCCCGGUGCCGGAAGGUUAAUUGAUGGGGUUAGCGCAAGCGAAGCUCUUGAUCGAAGCCCCGGUAAACGGCGGCCGUAACUAUAACGGUCCUAAGGUAGCGAAAUUCCUUGUCGGGUAAGUUCCGACCUGCACGAAUGGCGUAACGAUGGCGGCGCUGUCUCCACCCGAGACUCAGUGAAAUUGAAAUCGCUGUGAAGAUGCAGUGUAUCCGCGGCUAGACGGAGAGACCCCGUGAACCUUUACUGUAGCUUUGCACUGGACUUUGAGCCUGCUUGUGUAGGAUAGGUGGGAGGCUUUGAAGCGUGGACGCCAGUUCGCGUGGAGCCAUCCUUGAAAUACCACCCUGGCAUGCUUGAGGUUCUAACUCUGGUCCGUGAUCCGGAUCGAGGACAGUGUAUGGUGGGCAGUUUGACUGGGGCGGUCUCCUCCUAAAGAGUAACGGAGGAGUACGAAGGUGCGCUCAGACCGGUCGGAAAUCGGUCGCAGAGUAUAAAGGCAAAAGCGCGCUUGACUGCGAGACAGACACGUCGAGCAGGUACGAAAGUAGGUCUUAGUGAUCCGGUGGUUCUGUAUGGAAGGGCCAUCGCUCAACGGAUAAAAGGUACUCCGGGGAUAACAGGCUGAUACCGCCCAAGAGUUCAUAUCGACGGCGGUGUUUGGCACCUCGAUGUCGGCUCAUCACAUCCUGGGGCUGAAGCCGGUCCCAAGGGUAUGGCUGUUCGCCAUUUUAAAGUGGUACGCGAGCUGGGUUUAGAACGUCGUGAGACAGUUCGGUCCCUAUCUGCCGUGGACGUUUGAGAUUUGAGAGGGGCUGCUCCUAGUACGAGAGGACCGGAGUGGACGAACCUCUGGUGUUCCGGUUGUCACGCCAGUGGCAUUGCCGGGUAGCUAUGUUCGGAAAAGAUAACCGCUGAAAGCAUCUAAGCGGGAAACUUGCCUCAAGAUGAGAUCUCACUGGGAACUUGAUUCCCCUGAAGGGCCGUCGAAGACUACGACGUUGAUAGGCUGGGUGUGUAAGCGUUGUGAGGCGUUGAGCUAACCAGUACUAAUUGCCCGUGAGGCUUGACCAUAUAACACCCAAACA